rnacentral:rRNA from 2 species
AGCAUCCGUAGCCGGCUGCUCAAGUUUCCGGUUAAAUCCACACGCUUAACGUAUGGGCUGCCGGAAAUACUGUUCAGCUAGGGAGUGGGAGAGGUAGACGGUACUCGAUAGGAAGGGGUAAAAUCCUUUGAUCUAUUGAUGACCACCUGUGGCGAAGGCGGUCUACCAGAACACGUUCGACGGUGAGGGAUGAAAGCUGGGGGAGCAAACCGGAUUAGAUACCCGGGUAGUCCCAGCUGUAAACGAUGCAGACUCGGUGAUGCAUUGGCUUAUGGCCAGUGCAGUGCCGCAGGGAAGCCGUUAAGUUUGCCGCCUGGGAAGUACGUACGCAAGUAUGAAACUUAAAGGAAUUGGCGGGGGAGCACAAGCCGAA